rnacentral:rRNA from 1 species
UACGUAGGGUGCGAGCGUUGUCCGGAAUUACUGGGCGUAAAGAGCUCGUAGGUGGUUUGUCGCGUUGUCCGUGAAAACUCACAACUCAAUUGUGGGCGUGCGGGCGAUACGGGCAGACUGGAGUACUGCAGGGGAGACUGGAAUUCCUGGUGUAGCGGUGGAAUGCGCAGAUAUCAGGAGGAACACCGGUGGCGAAGGCGGGUCGCUGGGCAGUAACUGACGCUGAGGAGCGAAAGCGUGGGGAGCGAACAGG